UUGGCCCACUCUUCUUUGCAGAACUGCUUUUUUUUCAACCAAAUUGGAGAGUUUUUGAGCGUGAAAUGCCCGUUUAAGGUUCAAGUCAGGACUUUAACUUGGCCACACCAAAACUUUAAUUUUGCCUCUUUUGAACCAUUCAGAGGUGGACUUACUCCUAUGCUUUGGAUCAUUGUCUUGCUGCAUAAACCAGUUGCACUGGAGCUUCAACUCACAGACUGAUGACCGGACAUUCUCCUUUAGGAUUUUCUGGUAGAGAGCAGAAUUCAUAUUUCCCUCAAUUAUUGUAAGUCGCCCUGGCCCUGAAGCAGCAGAGCAUCCCUACACCAUCACACUACCACCACCAUGCUUGACCUUCCACUUUCGACUCAUCAAUCCACAGAACAUUCUCCCAAAAGGUUUGAGGAUCAUCAAGGUGUGUUUGGCAAAAUUCAGACGAGCCUUAAUGUUCUUCUGGGACCACUGUCAGACACUCAUACAGUUA